AUUGAACGCUGGCGGCAUGCCUUACACAUGCAAGUCGAACGGUAACGGGCCUUCGGGUGCCGACGAGUGGCGAACGGGUGAGUAAUGUAUCGGAACGUACCUUUCAGUGGGGGAUAACGUAGCGAAAGUUACGCUACUACCGCAUAUUCUGUGAGCAGGAAAGCAGGGGAUCGCAAGACCUUGCGCUGAUUGAGCGGCCGAUAUCAGAUUAGCUAGUUGGUGAGGUAAAAGCUCACCAAGGCGACGAUCUGUAGCGGGUCUGAGAGGAUGAUCCGCCACACUGGAACUGAGACACGGUCCAGACACCUACGGGAGGCAGCAGUGGGGAAUUUUGGACAAUGGGGGCAACCCUGAUCCAGCCAUGCCGCGUGAGUGAAGAAGGCCUUCGGGUUGUAAAGCUCUUUCGGCCGGGAAGAAAUCGUAUCAGCUAAUACCUGGUGCGGAUGACGGUACCGGCAUAAGAAGCACCGGCUAACUACGUGCCAGCAGCCGCGGUAACAC
rnacentral:rRNA from 1 species